UUUCCCUCUGGGAAGAUGAGGAGCUUGUGAUACCUGCGUAUGUCAGCCACUGGCCCCUGCUGUGUCUGUGGAGAUUGUUCAGCACUGAGUGGAAUUAAUCACACCUACAGUACCUGGUUUCUUCUAUUUUGGGGCUGGAGAGCCAAGACAGAAAGAAAGAAGGAAGAAUCUGCAGUAAGUAAUUUUGUUAGUUUUACUUUUUUACUGACUGAAAAAAAUAAUGAGAGCAUGGGGAACUUUUCGGGACGUUUCACCUUAAUAAGUCUAUAUUGUUGCCAUGGGUAAGCCUCUUUACACCGUCCAAUUAUAGACAUGGCUGACAAAUCUAUUUCCAAAUGAGGUGAACACAUAACAGUAAAUACUGUGAAAGCAACGUGACUCCUGAGAAAAGCAUAAAAGAUAUGUUAACAAAGUCUGGGAAGCUUAUUGUCGCUUCUGUAGCUGCCCUGGAAAAAGCCACAGACUCUUGUCCUGGUUACUGAAUUGUGAAGUUGAUGCAAUAACAGUCCAGUCUCCAAGUGUAAAUUAUGAAAAGCUGUUGUAUGGUCUUCACAUUUUUCACAGUCUGUCCAUUAUCUGAUGGCCUUAUCAAACCAGGGACAUAAUGGCAAUGUCUCCACCUAGUCAAACUGUAUUAAGACGUCAUUUUCCCUCACCUUCUUUUUCAUUGGUUAGAGGCCAGAUGAAGAAAGAAAUACUCUUACACAACAGAGAUUUGAUUCAUUAUUGCAGAAUGUUAAUCUAGCAGUAUAAGCAUUUUGUAUUGUUUUUCACCUUGUUCUUUUUUUGUUUACAUUUGUUACCAUGGUUUCCGUUUCUCAUUUCUGGCAAUCACUGAGAUGGACCGGUACAAAAGUGGUAGUCUGCCCACCGGUUCUUCCUCUGUGCUCCCGUCGUUACCCGUGUCACUUACGGGUCAGAGGUUGUGUGCCCGACAGGGCGACUGUGUGGUGCUCCGUGCUCCCUGUGUGUGCUGCUUUGGUUGUUUGGUGGUGGUAAAUGCUGGCAGCUGCCUGGAGUCCUCUCUCCCUCCCUCCCUCCUCUCGUGAGCGUGUGAGGGUCUGCUAAAAGGUGUUACCCACCUUACUGGAUUCGCUGCUGCUUUGUUUUCACUGGUGUUUGUAUCUGCUGCUGCUGCUGCUUGCCUUCACAACGCUCCCCUGCAGCCGUCAGAAGCUUCGCAGCGUCACUACCACCAAAUAUAUACGCUGUGUGUCCUGUCCAGUGUUGGAUGAUGUGGUUCUGUUGGCUCCAACACACCAUGACCUCCAGCAUGCACCAGGACAUUUUGCAGCUGAGUGUCCCCUGGUGAAGAGGGAGCUGAGCUGGAAGACGAAGCUUUCGAUUUACUGGUCCAUCUACGUCCCAACCCUCACCUAUGGUCAUGAGCUAUGGGUAGUGACCGAAAAAAUGAAAUUGUGGAUACAAGUGGCGGAAAUGAGUUUCCUCCGUGGGGUGGCUGGGCUCAGCCUUAGAGAUAGGUUGAGGAGCUCGGACAUCCGGAGGGAACUCGAAGUAGAUCUCCUUCACAUCAAAAGGAGUCAUUUGAGAUGGUUUCAGAUGCCUCCUGGGCAAUACUCCUGGGAGGUGUCCCAGGCUCGUCAAACUGGUAGGAAGCCCCAGGGUAGACCCAGAACAUGCUGGAGGGAUUACAUAUCUCGACUGGCUUGGGAACGCCUUGGUGUCCCCCAGGAGGAGCUGGAAAGCGUUGCUGGGGAGAGGGAUGUCUGGGGUGCUUUGCUUGGCCUGCUGCCCCCGCAACCUGGAUAAGUGGAUGAAAAUGGCUGGAUGGAUACUGGACACAACCUUUAGUCUCCUGGGUAUAUUGCUACAGGUAGGUUUACAUUGGAAGUAGCUGAAAGCCAGGUGCAUGACAAAAAGAUGCUAAAGAGUUGCUUUGGUGUCAAUAUCACACACCAAGGGGUGAGACAAAGUGGCAGAUUUGAUGCCCUGGGAAUGAGAAUAGGAGCCAGCCCAUCAGGCCAAACUAUGUGCUUUAGGGUAAGUAUGGGAUGAGGAUUGUGUGAAUCCCCCGAAGGGGCACAAUCGGCACUGGCACAGGUUCUUCACUUUAAAUAUGAUGAUACAGCUAUUGAUUUUUAUUCCCCUUCUGAUGCUCCAAGGAAAUAUAGGCAUUAGAACUCUAACAAAACACCUAAAAAUAACAAAACUACUAAACCCUUAAACAAAAGAAAAACUAAACCCAGAAAAAACCAAAAAUACAGAUAGCCCGAGGAGAGGUCAAAGGUCACAUGGACAACCAUUCCAUAAAUUUAAUCAGGUCUGCUAUAAAAAAGCAGAAACCAAGAAAGAUUAGGUGAAACUGGCCAAAAUGAAACCUAAAGAAUAUUUGUUAUAAGGAAAAACACCAAAUUAAUGAUACGAAGGAUCCCCCGCCUCCACACCUAAAUCCCUAAAAAUUAGGGUUAGGAUAAAGGAAGAGGGUUAGGUUAAGGGAAAAAAGGAGGGGAAACAGGUAAUUAGACUCUGAUUAAUUAGGUUUAGGCAUACCCAAAAUUUAAUUAGGAUUAGGCACUAAAUACUGGAAUCCAAAGCCUAAAAAAAUUCUCCAAAUUAGGUUUAGACACACCCUCAAGAGGAUGAAGCGGUUAGAAGAUGAAUGAAUGAAGAGAUUUAGGCACAUGUAAAGUGACAAGCAACCGAGGGAGAACCUGCAGGCAGGUCAAAAUCAAAUAUCAAAAUCAAAACAGGAUCAAAUGAGCCCCCAAAUAACGAUCAAUCAAUGAGAAAAAGAAUAAUAAUGCAUGCAAAUCAACUUAAUUUAUUUACAAUAUAUACCAAGAAAAAAAUACUUUUAAUUGCAACAUAAUCGCAAUCACAAAUCAAAAUUAGGAGCUGAUUAGGACGCCAUUAAGGCUAAAGAAGCCCUCAGGCCUCAUCCUCGUGUUGCUCGCCACCUCCAAGCCCCACCCAAAUAAAUAACGCCUUAUCUAAAAAUAAGAGAAUCAUUAAUUAAUUCCUAGAAGGUGUUGAGUUGAAAGGAGAGACCAAGUAUCAGAGUAAUUAAUAAACAUAAAUAAAUAAAUUAAUUAAUUAAACACACAAAAAAAAGGGACAAAAACAACCAAAUUAAGUGCUAAAGUAAUAAGUACUGAAAUCAUGCAAUAAAUCAGAAAAACAACAACAAAUAAAUCUAGUAAGAGAGCUCUUGGAGCUCUCCUAUUGUUAGGGUUAGGGUUAGGGUUAGCCUCAUUUGGUGUCCAUCUUAGUUACUUCCUGUGUGUUUUUUGGUUUGGCCAAGCCUUUAUGUGUAUUUCCUCGUGUCACUGCAACACUAUUCACCCCCAACUCAGUGGUCAUACUAUGACAUUCUAGGUGCCCCCGUCAAUUUCCACUCAUUACAUGAUAAAGUGUCCUUUCAAAAGAAAUUUCUGUGUUCACAGAAAACCUAAGUUUAGGCAACUACAUUAGUUUAGUUUAGUUUUAGGAAACUAAAGUAUUAAAUUAGGUUUGGAGAAAGACCAUGGUUUGGGUUAAAAUAACUCAUGACUAACGUAACUUCAUUUACUCGAUAAGUUAAUGAGUGUCAUAUGAUGUAUCCAAUGUAUGUCACAUGACAUGUAUCUCAUGUGACAUUUACUAUGUUAUAUAAAAAACUUUUGACUUUUGGUUUCACACAGGACAUGAACACUUGUCUCCUGGUUGAAUAUUCGUGUGACCUUUCCACCAUACCUCCCCCUCCCUCCCUCCCCCUCUGCCCUACAAGGACUUUCUCAAUCUUUAUAAUAUAUCAUUGCUGCUGGAGGGUUGGUAUUAGACUCUAAGGGCCACUGCCCAAUUUUCUGUAUUUGACUCCCUCGGAAUGAGAACAGGUUGGUAGUUUUGAGAGGUCAGUUUGUUUAGUUGACAGCUUUAGUUAUGCUGCAUUGACCUCUUUGAUAGGCCUACAUAUCCAAUUCUUGGAUCAUAAUAUUUUUCACAUUUUGGGCAGUAAGUAAAAGCCUGGGUUUUCAGCUAAAGCUGUUGUUUCCUCUUUGCUUCAUUGUGAUUCAUAAAAUUAGUCAUACUCAACACACUGCAACCAAGUUGUUCAAUGUAUCUAACCUUGAGCACACCAUCAAAGCAUAGGUUCACAUUUUUUCAAGCCUGUCUUUUAACAAUACUUAUAUGAUCAGUAAGUUAUCUGGCCUUUAGUCGUAUAAUUAUUUAGAAAAAAAAAAAAAAAAAGCCAAAUAAAAUCAAAUGGAUAAUGUUUUGCUAUAUUACAACCCACUAGUGUUUUGUAAGUACACGGGAACUGAUAAAUUACUUGGUAUGUAGGGUGCAAAUAGAGAUCUGUGACUUUGAGACAAUUUGGGUGCUUUAGAUAUGGCUAAGCUGUGUGUGGAGCUGUGUGCAUUUUUGUUAAGAAGGGACCUGUUUGUAUUGUCUAGUUGUGGUAUGGGCAUGGGCUCAGGUUAUCUGUCUGAAAGCUUGUGGAUAACAAUGUGAAAUAAAGUCUUGCUUAUUAAUUAAUGAAGGUUCAACAGUAUAGGUACAUCUUAAUUUUUGGGACAGCUUGGGCAGAUCAUUUAGAACAUUUUGUGCCAAUGUUUGUCCUAAUAACUUGCCAUGGUGCUGAUCCUGGGAUCUGGAUUUGGCAGCCUCAGCACACAAAUGAAAACUUCUAUUAUGUUUUAUUCUUAAUUGAUGUUUUCAAUAAGCAUGCUGGCUCUUUCUUGGAUAGUAACAAGUGAAAAUGUCCUGUGCUAAUACUUUUAUUGUCAUUCUAGGAUCUGAGUCAGUUACAUGACUCAUUAGGGUUAGAUCAGCACUGAGGAGACAGUAAAAGUGGAAUGAGCAUGGUGCCGAUGUUCGAGCUAUUGAAGCAAUCCAAUUACAAAAUAGGUAUCAUGAAAACACGUCUGUCUGAUAAGAAACCAGAUGGAACCAUUUACAGUCUUUAAUGAUAGCAUCUGCAUCUCAUGCUGAUAAUAAUGCAGAAUCAAAGAGAGAAUGUGGAAGACUGGAUAGAGCAGAGAAGGGGAUGAGUAGGAGGAGGAACAGCACACAGAUGUGGGUGAUGCUGGCAGCUUCAUAGCUUUUUUUUGGUUCUUAUUGAUUAUUGCAAUAGCACAACAAAAUCAAUGCUCAAACUAGAAGAGUGCACUCAGAACCUCCUCUGGCUAACUUUAGUGGAACAAAUUAGAUAUAGAAUUAAUCUGCAGAUGCUUCGGUUUAAAAUUAGACCAAACUUUUCUACUGAUGUCAGUUUUUGAACCACAACAAAGGUUAAAAUGUGGCCUGCAACAAAUGGAAAGGCCUCUUGUUUUUAGCCCAGCUGAUUUCUGGAAAACUUGCUGCCCCUACCAGCUGGUUAGGAGUGAGAAGUCAACAGUCAAUGACAGUAUAAAAUAGUUAAAUAUGUUUUUCAAUAAUUACGUGUCACUGCAACCAUGAGAGGUCCUUAAACAUACAGUCCUUAAUGUACUCACAAAAUAUUAGGCUGAUUGGUCCUGUAGUUUGAGAGAUUAGCUGUGGACAGACAGACAAACAAACACAGUCACAGACACACGCAUGCUCACACACAACCAAAUGCACGAUCUCCUCUAGGUGUUCGCCUAGCAGUGAUUAAAAUGCCUAUAGAGGAGUCCCUCAGGACGGCUGUUUCAUAUCAUUCAUCUUUCCUCCAAACACCCAAAGAACUCUUCUCUGGCUACCUGAUCCAGUUAUGCCAUAACAACUUUUUUUUUUUUUUUUUUAAGAUAGUUACAGUCAUGCUUUCUGAAAGUACACAGCAUUAGGAUGGAUUGUAGUCAUGCCAUUUAUACAAUUCAUUUACCAUUCAUUUGUUUAAAAUUUUUAUUGCAUAUCUAUACUGAAAAGUCAAAGUCUGACCUGAUGGUGGAUCUACAGGUCACUAAAUUAAAGAAUUUUUUAUCCUUAUAGCUUUUGGCUCGUUAUUGCAUUCCACCAAGAAACUGCUGAAUGGAGAGCAAGGCAUUAUUUUGGAAUUCAGCCAUCCAUUCUCUAAACCACUUAUCUUAGUCAGGGUCACAGGGGGCUGGAGCUUAUCCAGUCCAUCACAGGGCUACUAUGUGGUCAGGCAAAUGCAUUUAUAGUUCUAUAAUAUCUAUGGUAUGGGUAAUUUAGAGCAGUUUAAAAUGUGUUUUGUUUGGAUUAAGUGGGUAGAAUGAUUCUAGUUGGUUUUUAAUAACCUAGACCCUGACCUUGGUUAGGAAGAAAGGCCCCAUAGGGUCAGUAAUGGGUGCAUAGGAGGAGUUAUAUGUGUUUUAAGAAAGUUGUUCACAAAUGUGCAGACAUUUACAGCAUAAAGCCUUACAUGAGCUUACAGUACUGCCAUAGUGUGUUAAAAAGCAAUAACUAUUUGUUCAUGUAGUGCUUAGAAAAAGUGAUGGGCUAAAGCAAAGUGUAAAUCUGACGUUUACCUCACUUAAUGUACUUUAGUAUACUUAUUAAAAUUGCACUACAUUUAAACGCACUUUCUACAUUAACUGCAAUACUGAUGUUUGAAAGUAUUACUGAAUUAUCAUGGUGGCUGGAGACCAUUAAUACUCAUGCCAGUAGUCUUUUAGGGGAGCCAUGUGAAUUAACUCUGAAACUAUUGUGCACAGAUAAGUGGUUCCAAAAGAGGAUCCAGGCUUUUUGUCACAUUGUCAGUGUGAAUAACACCAAUGCCACAUCCAAUAGUAAGUGGUGUUUUAGUCCAAAUUUGGUACAGCAGCUCCUGAGAAAAAAAAAACACUCAACUCUGUCUCUUUUACCUUCUAGAUGUUUACUCUUCAUCAGCAAAACUUUUACCUCAGCUAGUUGCCAGUUGGAAACCUUUUAAAGAAACUUCUUUCAUUAUGAAGUAAUAGUUGAUUGUACAAUGGUGAUGACACCAUCUGCGAAAUGUUUCCCUUGGUAAGCAGUGGUGUAGUGAAAAUGUCUAGCGCUUUCAUUGUCAAAGAUAAGAACAGAAGGAGUAUGUUUGUAAAGUGCUGUCCUUGACGAUGUCAGAAGCAAUAAACACUGCAAGCACAAACACCUGUGAGGUUACAAAUGACCUUAAAAAGAUACAACUUAAAACUUAUCAGUUCCCAGCUGAACUAUGGAGCUCAAAAGAGGUUUUGGAACGUGGUAAACAUGGUACAAAGGUACCAAAGCAGCAACAAAGGGACUGCAAAACAGGGACAACUUGCCACAAAUGUGGAAACACAUAGGGCCACAUACAAAAGAUGUCUGACCAGUGCUUUGAAUGUGAAGACUAGUUUGCAAUUAGCAUUUUUUUUUUUGUUUUGUUUGUUUGGUAAAUAGUUAAUAGUUGUAAUAAGAUAAGUAGUCAUGAGGGGUUUUUAUGAGCAGUGGGGACAGUGUUUGAUGGUUAUAAUGGUUAUAAAUUGGUAUUUAAAAAACAGUUCCACAAUGAUCUUGCUAUCUUCAGUUUCAGUAGAAUAUAUUUUUAAUCAUUAUGGCUGUUUAAGCAAUAUCGCACAAGAGAGAGUGAUGUUGUACUGUAUAUUGUCACAGCUGUGAUUUAGUCAUAUGCACGAGGCCGCAGGUGUGUGCUACGCCAGGAACUCACAAGCUACUUUGUAUUUACAUUGAUCUGCAACUGUGUAACUUCGUCCAGUUUGGCUAAUGAAACGUUGGCAAACCUGGAUGUUGGCACAACCAAACACACCUGGAGGUCUGCACUGAAGAGUCCUGGCUUUCCUUUUCCUCGUCCUCUUCUGACGACCACUCAUAAUUUAAUUCAAAUGUAAUUUGGGGGGCAAAUAUCCAUCUUCUUGGUGUAACGCUAUAGUGUCAGUUUGCGUCAAUGUAGUGAGUGUGACAGUUGGUUAAUUAACGGUUGUAUUGAAAUUUAUAACACCUGUGAGUGGAGUGAUUUUACUGUUACAUGUCCCACUGAUGUUAUACUCUACAUUAGCACUCAUGGAAUGCCUCUCGUCCAAUCAAAUUACUCAGU